GACGAACCGUCCAAACGUUAUUCGGAAUCGCUGGGCUUAAAGGGUGCGUAGGCGGCGCGGUAAGUUGGGUGUGAAAUCCCUCGGCUCAACCGAGGAACUGCGCCCAAAACUACCGUGCUCGAGGGAGAUAGAGGUGAGCGGAACUUAGGGUGGAGCGGUGAAAUGCGUUGAUAUCCUAAGGAACACCGGUGGCGAAAGCGGCUCACUGGAUCUCUUCUGACGCUGAGGCACGAAAGCUAGGGUAGCGAACGGG
rnacentral:rRNA from 1 species